rnacentral:lncRNA from 1 species
UUUUUCUUUUCAUGUUGAAUGAAUCAAGUCUUAAUUUUUUUAUUUAUACUGUUGCUGCUUGUUCCGUGAUUGCUCUUGUCCGAUUUUCUGUGGAUUUGCUUAUUCCGAGAUAUUUCUGAACUCGCUGCUGAGGACGUGGCAUCAUAGGUUAAAACUUACUAAUUGAGUAAUAUUAUUAUAUGCGAAUAAUGUAAUAAUGAUAUGGAUAAAAUCAAUCAAAAAUACAGAAUGAUAAAUAAAUUGAAAUUGAAAUUUUAAAGUUACAAUCAGCAGGAGAAGGUUGAUACUAAUAAGAGUAUGAGUGAAGAUUUGAGAACAAGGAAGACGACAAUCAACCUGAUAGCGACGACUCUGGAUGAAGCGGAAGAGGUGUCAGCAGCGAUGCUGGCGGAGUACCCAACUGGAGCCAAUACGAAGAAACC